GAUCCUGGCUCAGGACGAACGCUGGCGGCGUGCCUAACACAUGCAAGUCGAGCGGAGAUGUACAGACGGAAGGCUUCGGCUGGAAGACGGUGCAUUUUAGCGGCGGACGGGUGAGUAACGCGUGAGCAACCUUUCCUUCACAGGGGGAUAAGAUACCGAAAGGUGUUCUAAUACCGCAUGAGACCACAGAGCCACAUGGCUCAGGGGUCAAAGGAGGAAUCCGGUGAAGGGUGGGCUCGCGUCCGA
rnacentral:rRNA from 1 species